CUGAUCCAGCAAUGCCGCGUGCGUGAAGAAGGCCUUAGGGUUGUAAAGCGCUUUCACCUGCGAUGAUGAUGACAGUAGCGGGAGAAGAAGCCCCGGCUAACUCCGUGCCAGCAGCCGCGGUAAUACGGAGGGGGCUAGCGUUGUUCGGAAUCACUGGGCGUAAAGGGCGUGUAGGCGGCGGAUUUAGUUAGGCGUGAAAGCCCCGGGCUCAACCUGGGAACUGCGCUUAAUACUGGUCUGCUGGAGUCCGGGAGAGGCGAGUGGAAUAUCCAGUGUAGAGGUGAAAUUCGUAGAUAUUGGAUGGAACACCGAUGGCGAAGGCAGCUCGCUGGACCGGAACUGACGCUGAGGCGCGAAAGCGUGGGGAGCAAACAGGAUUAGAUACCCUGGUAGUCCACGCUGUAAACGAUGUUCACUAGACGUCGGGGGUUAGGCCUUCGGUGUCGCAGCUAACGCAUUAAGUGAACCGCCUGGGGAGUACGGCCGCAAGGUUA
rnacentral:rRNA from 1 species